rnacentral:rRNA from 1 species
GAUAUGGCUCAGGAUGAACGCUGGCGGCGUGCUUAACACAUGCAAGUCGAACGGGAAAUAUUUUAUUGAAACUUCGGUAGAUUUAAUUUAUUUCUAGUGGCGGACGGGUGAGUAACGCGUGGGUAACCUGCCUUAUACUGGGGGAUAACAGCCAGAAAUGGCUGCUAAUACCGCAUAAGCGCACAGGACCGCAUGGUCCGGUGUGAAAAACUCCGGUGGUAUAAGAUGGACCCGCGUUGGAUUAGCUAGUUGGCAGGG